GUGAACACAUGUCAGUAUUCAGUAAAGAGAGACAAUGGGUUAAACUUUAACUGUUCUAACUGACAGCAUAAAGGUGUAUGCAUUUUAGGUUAAGGCAUGCAACUGAUAACUUCAACAGAGGUAUAAUGCUAUCAUACACAUAGGUUGCAGGCUAUUCAUGUGUGUCUGAUUAUGUAGAACAACAGAGUCCACUUUGAGUUAUCUAGACAUGUGGGUGCGUAAGUGAACAUAGGGUUAACAACAUGCUUUGGGGAUGUGAGGUGAGUGUAAAUAGUGUGAGACAUAAGGUCACACGAGUAUAUCUUACUAGGUAGAGUGGCCGCUGGAGGGCAUUUUAAACUUUGCGGCAUGGUACAGUAUCAAGGUAAAAUGAUGGCCAUCAAUAUCAUGGAGGAUUCAGAGUUAGGCAAC